UUCAAAGAGACCCUUUCUUCCUUUCUGAUAAAAAUGGCUUCUUUCUUCCAGAAACCCUAGCUCCUCAAAAGAUAAAGGUAAAGCUGAUGAUUCUGCUCCUCCUACGGUGAGCACCAUCAUCCCAAGAAGUCUUAUCACAACAAAAGUCUUCGAAGAGAAGUAUCCUUCCGCUAACCCUCGUACGUGGGUCGUUGGAGUGUACCCUUCUUCCAUUCAUCCUUCCAGCAUUCCUGAUGUGAAGGAAGACUGCCAUUGCCAUGAUUUAGAUAUUAUCGCUCCUGAUCUGGCGGAGCGGAUAACCUUACCCAACAAGGGUUUUACGUAUAUUUAUAUGUAUCCUUUCACUUUGGGACCAUUCUCUUUGAGCGGGGAGCUUGAUUCCGUUAUUGUGGAGUUCUGCAUCCGCUACCAGGUAUGCCUAGCAUAAGUAAGUCCUUAUGUGUGGAGGACAGACGCUUGUCUUCGACGUCUAUGCUAGGAGACGGGAGAGGAGCUAACCCUAGCUUGAUUAAUGAACCUUUAUUCCCCCAAUAUCUUUCGUGGGGGAAUGAUAAAUUUCAGCAAACAUGGCUACCAUGCCCUACUAGCCAGCAUGGAUAAUGACAACGAUUGUGGAUCGAUGGAAUGGUUCGUUGCAGUUACCACCAGGGAUAUCAUUCCAGCCAUGACUUCAUCCUUUCCGAAAUUAUGGAACCGUACGCCGACUUGGUGGGUUCCACCAAGGAUCGAAGGCUUGGACCAGUGAGUCCAAAAUAUUUUGGAUGUUACUACGCCCGAGACCCGUACGUGGAAAGAACUAGCCCUUAAAUAUGGGUGGAAGGCCAAAAAUCAUGGUCUACCCCAUGGCUCAUUUGUCAUCCUUGAGGCGGACAUUUUGGCUAAUCCUACUGAUGCGGCGUGGCUGCUGUAGGAGGAUUUUACCCGAACAAGUGUCUCCAGGCCUGUUUCUGGUGCAAGUGCUUUUUCUUUGAGUCCCCGGUCGGAGAACAAGCAACCAAAAAGAAGACGUCCCUCCUUGGCCAGGGGAAAAAAUGAAAAGGCAAAGAAUGUCAUCACUGGAAGUUGUGGUGAUGAGCCCCGUACCCAGCCGACCAUAAACACCGUGGUUAUCGACGAUAAAGGAGAAGUCAACGAAGAUGGGGCUUCUCUAUAUAGAAGACGACGACCUUUCUCGGCUCAACAAAAUGCUCAAUUUGUUGAGUCAGUUACACCAACCAGGACGAUGCCUUGGCCCUAUAGGGGAAGUUUGAUAUGGUCGAAAAUGCCAACUUCCAUUUCUGAGUCCCGGUCACUGCGCCCGGUACUAUGAGGCUGAGUAUUGGGUCCCUACCGUCUUCAGUUGAUGAGCAAUCAAUAACCAGCACUGCAUUUACCGUAGUUGCUUCGCCAUCAUCUUCACCUCAUUCUUUACCAACUCUGCCUUCACCACCAGCAACUGCUACAUCAUCUCCACCGGCCACGGUUGCCCGAGAGGAUGAUGUCCCUCUUCUCCAAUCCCCAAUUCAUGGGAGCCUGGUGGCAAAAAUAUGUUGCCCCCUCAGAAGAUCCUUAAAGGAGGAGGAUCGUUACUCUCUCGGUUUCUACCGGAUGACAUCUGUUGUCCCCGCCGGAGGAACUUGCAAACUAUCUGAAGCCUUCGGCUUUAGAAAAAGAUAGGAAAAAAUUGCAAACUCUAUCGGGAGAGUGUUUGUUGAAAAAUUCCAUGCACAACGCAGCGGUAGUACAAUCUUUAUUUCCUUUGUUUCUUCUAUCAUUUUUAUGGCAUGGUUCUGAAUUUGAAUUUUUUGUUUUGCAUGCCAAAUUUCUUACUUCCUAAGGCCUUAAAAGGCUGUUUCGUGAUAAGGAGGCACUUACCUCUGAGCGAGAUUAACUUUUGGCCGAGCGAGACCAAACUGCUACUCGCCUCUCAAACCUGGAAGCAAGAACUGUUCAAGUUGUUAAGCUGGAGGAUCGGUUGCAGCAAAGUGAGCAAGAAGUGGUAAUCCUUAGUCAGGAGGUCACUUCGUUAAGGGUACAAUUUGAAGAAACUAAGGCCAAAUGGUUUGAAGUCCAUAAUGUCGUUCUUGCUGUAUCCGAUCGUGAGGCUGCCUCUGCUGAAAGAUUGUGGAAUUUGGAGGCAACCUUAAACUCCAAAGUUGAAGAGCUUACUACUGCCAAGGCGAAGUAUGCCCGGUUGGAGGAGAAGCAUAAGAGGACCAUCGAGCACAAUAUAGUUUUCAGCUCCACUAUCUGUGAGCUUGAUGUCAGCCUCCGAUCCACCAAAUUCGCGCAGGAUAACUUUUCUACCAAGGUCGACCAACUUAAAGAAAAACUCUAAUGCCGAACGGCUUCCCUUGUUGUUGAAAAAACAUAUUCUAUAUGAGGAGAAAAAACUUGGAAGAGGCCAAAACGGGUGUCAUUGACUUUGAUGGCGAAAUCGCUAUGGCUCAUGAGCUGGAGUUAACCGCAAAAGUGGGUCUUUCGAUCCAGCCUAAUGCUACCGAUUCUUCUGGUUCUGGUUCUGAGUUCUCAGGAACUGAAGAAAAAACAGAAGGUAGCAAUGUUUAAGGCCAAAAUGAUGAAGGCCAAGAUAUCGAACCGGCAACGGAUCUACCCACCUCUCCUGGGGGCGCAAAUGCUUCUUUUCCUUCGAGUCCUGGAGAUACAACAACUUAGUUUUUUCUUCUUUUUUUAUACACUUUUGUAAUUGUGUUG